rfam:Aureobasidium namibiae CBS 147.97 unplaced genomic scaffold scaffold_19, whole genome shotgun sequence.
UCUUCAUUGGUCUAGUGGUCAUGAUUUCCGCUUGUCAAGAGUAACUUCUCGUCAAGCGCGGGAGACCAGGGUUCGAUUCCCUGAUGGAGAG